rnacentral:rRNA from 1 species
GAGUUUGAUCAUGGCUCAGAUUGAACGCUGGCGGCAGGCUUAACACAUGCAAGUCGAACGGUAACGGGAAGGAAGCUUGCUUUCUUUGCCGACGAGUGGCGGACGGGUGAGUAAUGCUUGGGAAUCUGUCUUAGGGAGGGGGAUAACGACGGGAAACUGUCGCUAAUACCGCGUAAUGUCUAAGGACGAAAGGGUGGGACCUUCGGGCCACCUGCCGUAAGAUGAGCCCAAGUGGGAUUAGGUAGUUGGUGAGGUAAGGGCUCACCAAGCCGACGAUCUCUAGCUGGUCUGAGAGGAUGACCAGCCACACUGGAACUGAGACACGGUCCAGACUCCUACGGGAGGCAGCAGUGGGGAAUAUUGCGCAAUGGGGGCAACCCUGACGCAGCCAUGCCGCGUGAAUGAAGAAGGCCUUCGGGUUGUAAAGUUCUUUCGGUGAUGAGGAAGGUGGAUGUUUUAAUAGAGCAUACAAUUGACGUUAGUCACAGAAGAAGCACCGGCUAACUCCGUGCCAGCAGCCGCGGUAC